GAUGAACGCUGGCGGUAUGCUUAACACAUGCAAGUCGAACGGACUCUUCGGAGUUAGUGGCGGACGGGUGAGUAACGCGUGAGAAUCUGGCUUUGGGUUCGGGACAACCACUGGAAACGGUGGCUAAUACCGGAUGUGCCGAGAGGUAAAAGAGAAAUUGCCUGAAGAUGAGCUCGCGUCUGAUUAGCUAGUUGGUGAGGUAAAGGCUCACCAAGGCAGCGAUCAGUAGCUGGUCUGAGAGGAUGACCAGCCACACUGGGACUGAGACACGGCCCAGACUCCUACGGGAGGCAGCAGUGGGGAAUUUUCCGCAAUGGGCGAAAGCCUGACGGAGCAAUACCGCGUGAGGGAAGAAGGCCCUUGGGCUGUAAACCUCUUUUCUUAGGGAAGAACAAAAUGACGGUACCUAAGGAAUCAGCAUCGGCUAACUCCGUG
rnacentral:rRNA from 1 species